GACUGUGCAGCCCCAGUUGUAAAUCCUGUUUCUGAAGAUCUUGAGUUUCUGAUGUUCUAUGAGCAGCUAUAUCACAGAUGACCUUGAACUUUUGAGUUCUGAGCCUGACCCCAGACUGAGGAAUGAGGAUUUCACAAGGAAAUUCUUUUGUGUCUGUCAGCUCCUGGAGAAAAAAGAUCUUGUUUCCUGAUCUUUCCAAAAGCUGUGAAAACUCCUGCUGACCCUCUCUUGAAAGUUCCAGACUACUGAAUUGGCUACAAUUCUCUGUGAAUGAAAUCCAAGAAGCUGUUUUCUGGCCAGCUCAUCCCUUCACAGCCCUGUGAAAGCAGAAUUACACAGGUGUUUUUUGCCACAUACCCAUUAUUUAGAGACUUUCAGAUGCUAAUG